UGAUUUGGAGUUGUAGGUAGAAUGAUUAUUCUGUGGAAAUUGUUUCAUAGGGGGAGGGAGAGCUUUGAAGAGAAGGGGAUUAGAGACCCCCGUAUUAAGUGAGGUGAUUUUGUGUUCUUUAGUACAAACUAAAAAGGCUUGGCAGCCGAUGAGAUUCAUCCGGGGGAGCGUGUGUUAUAAGAGAUGGUCCACUUAAAGUUUAACCUUAUUGGUUUGGUUAGUGUAUAUCCGGUUUAAUAUUCGCGAUUAAUGUCGUAGGGUGUAGAUAAAAACAAUUGAAGCCAGG
rnacentral:rRNA from 1 species